rnacentral:rRNA from 1 species
AACGUAGGACGCAAGCGUUAUCCGGAGUUACUGGGCGUAAAGCGCGGGCAGGCGGCUCGAUGCGUCUGAUGUGAAAUCUCCUCGCUCAACGGGGAGAGGCCAUUGGAAACGGUCGAGCUGGAGGGCAGUAGAGGUAGGCGGAAUUCCCGGUGUAGUGGUGAAAUGCGUAGAUAUCGGGAGGAACACCAGUGGCGAAGGCGACUACCUGGCCUGUUCUUGACGCUGAGGCGCGAAAGCUAGGGGAGCAAACGGG